ensembl:lncRNA
AAAAAAGCAGCCGCCCAUCGCACACCCCCUCCCCCCCUACUAAUGAACUAUAUCUAAUAGCCUCUCUUUCGGGAGUCCUUUGAGAAGGAGGCGGUGCUUGGUUUUGACCUCAUUAUCCACGCAUUCCCCCCGCCCCCACUGGGGCAGGUACAUUCCUUGCAUUCCUGCCUGCAGGAGCUGCUAGGAGGUCGUUAACCCCGGGGCGAGCCUGAGAAAAAGCGGCCGACUGCCUCUGAGAGUCCUCGGGGAGCAGGCACGAGAUAACGAGAGGUGACGGGGUCAGCAUGGAAGCCCCUUUCAUCUUUUCAGCUUGCUUCCAACUCGGACAAAAGGAUCUGUCCAGGGGUGCCAGGACCACUCGGCUUCAUUUGAUGCCUUGUCCCUGGGAGGGGGCUGGGAGGUCUGGUCGUGUCUGGAUAUUGUUCUGGGGGAGCCAAUGCCUUCCUCUCGGGAUGCCCUGGACUCCUGAGGGAAUGCUAAGUGGAAGGCCGGGGACUCGGGCAAGAGAGACCACCCAGCUCCUGGGAGGAGGGUGUGGAGGGCCUGAAAGGAAGCAGCCGCCGAGCAGAGUUCACCAUUUAGACGGUCAGAUGAAGGGCGAGGCUGGGAGGCCACAGGGGAACCCGGAUAGAUUUUGCCGCCAAAGCGAGAAGGGGGGAGUGGCUGGGAGGAGGCCUGGGCACUAGGAGGGCCUACACCUCUCCACCUCGCCUCUAAUCAAGACCUGUCUGCCUCCCAUCCCCUUCCCCCUCUUCCCCCAUGCUUUUACCAACUUCCUUCAGCCACUGUGCCUUAUCACGACAGAAUUCCCCACUGAAGGCCCAUGGAGAGAAGACGCCCUGCCUGGAAUUCCUUAGGUGGAGGCAGGGGCAUGGAGAGUUGGAAGCCAGCUAGAGUACAUUGGGGGUUCUUGUCCCGCCCCACCCCGCCAGCAACAACAACAAAAAGCAAACCAAACAAAGAUUUAGAAGGUCAAACUGUGGGGUUGGUGGUGGGGAUACCCCAAGCCUUUAAUCCCAGCACUCAAGAGGCAGAGGCAGGAGGAUCUCUGUGAGUUCGAGGCCAGCCUGGUCUGCAGAGCAAGUUCCAGUACAGCCAGGGCUAUACAGAGAAACUGUCUGAAAAAAACCGAUGAUGAUGAUGAUGAUGAUAAAGCAAAACAAAACACAGGGUCUCCUGUAGCCUACACACUGGUUUUAAACUCACUAGGCUUCCUGAUCCUCUCCUGAUCUUCCACGACCUCCACUCCCCAGUUGUUGGUAUUGAAGGCAAAAACUACCACACCCAGCUGAGAGUUGUUUUUUUUUAAAGAUGGGUGAAACUGAGGGUUAUUUACUUAUAUGUAGAAAUAAAUGAUUCAGCAAAGAAGGGAAAACAUGCAGGAGGAGUCGGGGUGUUGAGGGUAGAUGAACCAGAGGGGCAGAGUGCUGGCCCCGGAGGGUGUUUGCCUUAGAUAGGAGCCUGGGCACUUUAUCCCAGACUGCAGAAGAGAAAGCAGAGUUUGGACAAAUUUACACAUCCCGUGAGUCAUCGACUGCCAGCCUCCUAAGACAUUUUCAAGCCUGACUCUGUGCCUCUCACUGUGCCUCUGUGUUGAAGAUAAAAGCCCCAGACAAGGGGCUUGGGAGAGAUACACCUUCAAUGGGAAAAAAGCAGGGUGAGCUUGAGUAAGGCCUUCUCCACUGCCGGGGAGAGCUCUGAGCAGCAGUGUUAAGGGCCUGUGAGGAUGAAAAUCAAGAAAUUCAGAAUAGGAGGUGUGGAUUAGUUAAGGGGGGUGGGGAUUAACUAAUUGGAAAGUUGGUUUAGGCAGAGUCUCCUGUAGCCCAGGCUAGCCCCAAAUUGGCUAUAUAGUCAAGGAUGGCUUAGAACUCUGUUUUGUUCUGUUUUUGAGACAGGAACCUCAAAACACAUGUCUCAGAGAUCAUCUGCCUCUACCCCCAGGGUACUAGGACUAAAGUUGUCCACCACCACACCCAGUGAUCUGGAAUUUCUAAGGAUUUGUUGUCGUUAUUUUUAAAUUAUGUGUACGUAAUCGUGGGUAUGGGCACAUGAGGGCAGGUGCCCACAGAAGGUAGAGGCACCACUUGACUCCCUUAGAGGCCAGAGUUACAGGUGACUGUGGCCCUCCAAACAUAGGUGCUGGGAACUGAACUCCAGGUCUUCUGCUAGAGGUGGUGCAUGAUCUUAACUGCUGAGCCAUCUCUCCAGCCCUAUGGCUCCACCUCUUAGUGCUAGGGUUGCAGGAGUCCUCCACACCUGCUUUAUGCAAUUGCUGGGAUUGAACCCAAGUGGUUGAAUUGAAGUGUGCUAGGCAAGUACCAACUGACCGAACUAGUCCCUCUUUCUGGUGUGUGUGUGUGUGUAGGGGGGUAAGGCGGGUAUUGGUGGCUUUGAACCCCUGAUGUUCCUGCUUAUGUCAUCCUAGUGCUUGGAUUUCUCCCUCUUCUGCAUUCAAGGCACAUGUUUCACCACUGAACCACACACCUCCCCCCCCCAACCCAAGUGAAAGGUUCAGGCAUUAUGCUGGCUGCCUCUGUUACCUGGCAGAAUCCACUCAGGCAGUACCGGGUCAGACCAG